UACGAAGGGGGCGAGCGUUGUUCGGAAUCACUGGGCGUAAAGGGCGCGUAGGCGGCCCUUCUUGUCGCGUGUGAAAGCCCCGGGCUCAACCUGGGAAUGGCGCGCGAGACGGGGGGGCUGGAGUUCGGGAGAGGAGCGUGGAAUUCCCAGUGUAGAGGUGAAAUUCGUAGAUAUUGGGAAGAACACCGGUGGCGAAGGCGGCGCUCUGGACCGAUACUGACGCUGAGGAGCGAAAGCGUGGGGAGCGAACAGG
rnacentral:rRNA from 1 species